AAGUCGUAACAAGGUUUCCGUAGGUGAACCUGCGGAAGGAUCAUUAAUACGCUUUUGUUUGUAACAAAACAAAACGUUUUAAACCCCAAAAUUGAAAUAGUGGAAACAUAUCUUCCGGAUGCGAAUGUUGGGGAACUGAGUAAAAUCGGUUCUUUGAAAAAGGACCUCAAGCAAUUGACACUUCAGAGUAGAGCAGUGAGGUGAAACUCGCAAGAGUUUGGUUCUGAAAAACAUUUGUAUCCGGUUAUCAAAUCUGUUCUACCAAAUUAUCAAACAAUAAACCCCAUGUACAACAACUUGAACUAAACAUUUUUUUGUUGUCUGCUUCGCGGCAGAUGUGCAUAGAAAAACCUGAACUUAAGAACAACUCUUAACAACGGAUAUCUUGGUUCUC
rnacentral:misc_RNA from 1 species